rnacentral:rRNA from 1 species
GGGUUGUGAGGUUAAGCGACUAAGCGUACACGGUGGAUGCCCUGGCAGUCAGAGGCGAUGAAGGACGUGCUAAUCUGCGAUAAGCGUCGGUAAGGUGAUAUGAACCGUUAUAACCGGCGAUUUCCGAAUGGGGAAACCCAGUGUGUUUCGACACACUAUCAUUAACUGAAUCCAUAGGUUAAUGAGGCGAACCGGGGGAACUGAAACAUCUAAGUACCCCGAGGAAAAGAAAUCAACCGAGAUUCCCCCAGUAGCGGCGAGCGAACGGGGAGCAGCCCAGAGCCUGAAUCAGUAUGUGUGUUAGUGGAAGCGUCUGGAAAGGCGCGCGAUACAGGGUGACAGCCCCGUACACAAAAAUGCACAUGCUGUGAGCUCGAUGAGUAGGGCGGGACACGUGGUAUCCUGUCUGAAUAUGGGGGGACCAUCCUCCAAGGCUAAAUACUCCUGACUGACCGAUAGUGAACCAGUACCGUGAGGGAAAGGCGAAAAGAACCCCGGCGAGGGGAGUGAAAAAGAACCUGAAACCGUGUACGUACAAGCAGUGGGAGCACAGAGCAAUCUGUGUGACUGCGUACCUUUUGUAUAAUGGGUCAGCGACUUAUAUUCUGUAGCAAGGUUAACCGAAUAGGGGAGCCGAAGGGAAACCGAGUCUUAACUGGGCGUUAAGUUGCAGGGUAUAGACCCGAAACCCGGUGAUCUAGCCAUGGGCAGGUUGAAGGUUGGGUAACACUAACUGGAGGACCGAACCGACUAAUGUUGAAAAAUUAGCGGAUGACUUGUGGCUGGGGGUGAAAGGCCAAUCAAACCGGGAGAUAGCUGGUUCUCCCCGAAAGCUAUUUAGGUAGCGCCUCGUGAAUUCAUCUCCGGGGGUAGAGCACUGUUUCGGCAAGGGGGUCAUCCCGACUUACCAACCCGAUGCAAACUGCGAAUACCGGAGAAUGUUAUCACGGGAGACACACGGCGGGUGCUAACGUCCGUCGUGAAGAGGGAAACAACCCAGACCGCCAGCUAAGGUCCCAAAGUCAUGGUUAAGUGGGAAACGAUGUGGGAAGGCCCAGACAGCCAGGAUGUUGGCUUAGAAGCAGCCAUCAUUUAAAGAAAGCGUAAUAGCUCACUGGUCGAGUCGGCCUGCGCGGAAGAUGUAACGGGGCUAAACCAUGCACCGAAGCUGCGGCAGCGACACUAUGUGUUGUUGGGUAGGGGAGCGUUCUGUAAGCCUGUGAAGGUGUACUGUGAGGUAUGCUGGAGGUAUCAGAAGUGCGAAUGCUGACAUAAGUAACGAUAAAGCGGGUGAAAAGCCCGCUCGCCGGAAGACCAAGGGUUCCUGUCCAACGUUAAUCGGGGCAGGGUGAGUCGACCCCUAAGGCGAGGCCGAAAGGCGUAGUCGAUGGGAAACAGGUUAAUAUUCCUGUACUUGGUGUUACUGCGAAGGGGGGACGGAGAAGGCUAUGUUGGCCGGGCGACGGUUGUCCCGGUUUAAGCGUGUAGGCUGGUUUUCCAGGCAAAUCCGGAAAAUCAAGGCUGAGGCGUGAUGACGAGGCACUACGGUGCUGAAGCAACAAAUGCCCUGCUUCCAGGAAAAGCCUCUAAGCAUCAGGUAACAUCAAAUCGUACCCCAAACCGACACAGGUGGUCAGGUAGAGAAUACCAAGGCGCUUGAGAGAACUCGGGUGAAGGAACUAGGCAAAAUGGUGCCGUAACUUCGGGAGAAGGCACGCUGAUAUGUAGGUGAAGUCCCUCGCGGAUGGAGCUGAAAUCAGUCGAAGAUACCAGCUGGCUGCAACUGUUUAUUAAAAACACAGCACUGUGCAAACACGAAAGUGGACGUAUACGGUGUGACGCCUGCCCGGUGCCGGAAGGUUAAUUGAUGGGGUCAGCGCAAGCGAAGCUCUUGAUCGAAGCCCCGGUAAACGGCGGCCGUAACUAUAACGGUCCUAAGGUAGCGAAAUUCCUUGUCGGGUAAGUUCCGACCUGCACGAAUGGCGUAAUGAUGGCCAGGCUGUCUCCACCCGAGACUCAGUGAAAUUGAACUCGCUGUGAAGAUGCAGUGUACCCGCGGCAAGACGGAAAGACCCCGUGAACCUUUACUAUAGCUUGACACUGAACAUUGAGCCUUGAUGUGUAGGAUAGGUGGGAGGCUUUGAAGUGUGGACGCCAGUCUGCAUGGAGCCGACCUUGAAAUACCACCCUUUAAUGUUUGAUGUUCUAACGUUGACCCGUGAUCCGGGUUGCGGACAGUGUCUGGUGGGUAGUUUGACUGGGGCGGUCUCCUCCUAAAGAGUAACGGAGGAGCACGAAGGUUGGCUAAUCCUGGUCGGACAUCAGGAGGUUAGUGCAAUGGCAUAAGCCAGCUUGACUGCGAGCGUGACGGCGCGAGCAGGUGCGAAAGCAGGUCAUAGUGAUCCGGUGGUUCUGAAUGGAAGGGCCAUCGCUCAACGGAUAAAAGGUACUCCGGGGAUAACAGGCUGAUACCGCCCAAGAGUUCAUAUCGACGGCGGUGUUUGGCACCUCGAUGUCGGCUCAUCACAUCCUGGGGCUGAAGUAGGUCCCAAGGGUAUGGCUGUUCGCCAUUUAAAGUGGUACGCGAGCUGGGUUUAGAACGUCGUGAGACAGUUCGGUCCCUAUCUGCCGUGGGCGCUGGAGAACUGAGGGGGGCUGCUCCUAGUACGAGAGGACCGGAGUGGACGCAUCACUGGUGUUCGGGUUGUCAUGCCAAUGGCACUGCCCGGUAGCUAAAUGCGGAAGAGAUAAGUGCUGAAAGCAUCUAAGCACGAAACUUGCCCCGAGAUGAGUUCUCCCUGACUCCUUGAGAGUCCUGAAGGAACGUUGAAGACGACGACGUUGAUAGGCCGGGUGUGUAAGCGCAGCGAUGCGUUGAGCUAACCGGUACUAAUGAACCGUGAGGCUUAACCUUACAACGCCGAAGGUGUUU